rnacentral:rRNA from 1 species
CCCUUAGAUGGUCUGGGCGGCACGCGCGCUACAAUGAUGCAUUCAAAAAGUCUUCUGACCUUAGAAGGUUGGGUAUUCUCCAAAGUGCAUCGUGAUGGGAAUAGUUUAUUGCAAUUUUUAAUCUUGAACGAGGAAUUCCUAGUAAGUACAGGUCAUCAACUUGUGUUGAUUACGUCCCUGCCCUUUGUACACACCGCCCGUCGCUCCUACUGAUUGAGUGUCUCGGUGAAUUCUUUGAUCUUCUGUCGAUUCAGUUCACUGAUCCGACGGUGGAAAGUUGAAUGAACUUCGUCGCUUAGAGGAAGGAGAAGUCGUAACA